UCAAACUUGGUCAUUUAGAGGAAGUAAAAGUCGUAACAAGGUUUCCGUAGGUGAACCUGCGGAAGGAUCAUUACCGAGUUAGGGUGUCCUCGUUCGCGAGCGCCCGACCUCCUAACCCUUUGCUUACUUGACCUUUUGUUGCUUCGGCAGGCCCGCCUCCGGGCCGCCGGGCGUCGGUAACACGCGCCUGGUCCGUCUGCCUGCCGACGGCCCCAAUUAUUAAACCCAUGUUUAAAACGUGUCGUCUGAGUAACUUUUUUUGUUAUACCACAAAAUAACUAAAAACUUUCAACAACGGAUCUCUUGGUUCUGGCAUCGAUGAAGAACGCAGC
rnacentral:misc_RNA from 1 species